rnacentral:rRNA from 1 species
CCGGCACGGGUGAGUAACACGUAUGCAAUCCACCUGUAACAGGGGGAGUAACCCGGAGAAAUCCGGACUAAUACCCCAUAAUAUGGGCGCUCCGCAUGGAGAGCCCAUUAAAGAGAGCAAUUUUGGUUACAGACGAGCAUGCGCUCCAUUAGCCAGUUGGCGGGGUAACGGCCCACCAAGGCGACGAUGGAUAGGGGUUCUGAGAGGAAGGUCCCCCACAUUGGAACUGAGACACGGUCCAA